ensembl:lncRNA
GGGUCACCCCAACGUUCAGAGGUCUGAUGUUUAUUUCAAAGGACCACUACAAAACAAUGAAUGACAUUUGCAAUGGGUUUUGUGCUCCUAAUUCAAUAAAUAUCGGUAAGUGAUGUGGUCUGGUGAAAGUGAAAUAUGUUGAGGGCAAGGACCCAUAGUGACACAUACUGUUGUAGUAAGACUGUGAGCUUGAGGUGUCUUUGUAGAUCAGAAAUGGUUCCUUGGUGUGAGUAUUAUAAGUUGGUGUGUGUAGGCAGGCUUCAUCGCAUGUGUAGCCUUGCACAGGUGAGCUCAGGUGCUGUGGAAGGGUCUUCAUCUCCUCACUCUUGACUGGCAGCUGUACACCUGAGUUGGAACGCCACCUGUUGUCAUAGCCGUUUAGCCAUACGUGUGGAUAAUGAGAGGUUUGAUAAGGGGUGGGACAGAAGGGAGAGAUCAAGUCAAGUUAAUCACGAUGACAGGGAUUUGUGAACUCUGGACUAAACCAUGUAUGUGUGUGCAGAGGGGGGUGGCCAGCUCAAGACACCAGACAAUCAGGAAGAGGAGGAACAAAACAAGGAAGUACUCUCAUGAUUGUUCCGUCUAGUUCAUGACCUCUUUGACAAUGACAGCCUUGGCUCUCUGUGUCUGACACAUCCACUUAAACCUGAAAUCUUGUUCCAUGGAACUCAACUCAAGCCUCAGUGUGCUGACAAAGCCUACAUCAUCUCACAUCAGGAAGAGAAAGGUGCGCAACUUAAUACAGUGUGAAUACUGCUUUAGAAAAUCCUUUUAUUAUUAAGAGAACAAAUAUACAUUUUCCUGUUACCCCAUCUCAACGAUUGGACUUGCUGCUUUGGGUGAGUUUGGAGUUGUGCAAGGCAGCGAGAUCCCAUAUCUCUCCUCUCUGAGGUAUAAACCCACAGUACAAGCAAAUAUGGACGCUUGUUUACUCACCAAACUUUUUCUAAUGGCAUUCAUCCCCAGGACAGUAGAUCAUAUUUUUUCCCAGAAACAGUAUGAACAUUUUACACAAAAUCUGGACUCGUUCACUUUUCAACUCACCAACCCUGUCAUUAACUCAAUUGUCAUUAACUCCAUUGUCAACAUUACAAAAUGAAGCUGAUAAGUUUACAUUUACAUGUAUUCAGUUGGCAGACACUCUUACCCAAAGCGAUUCACAAUUGAGGAACAACUUAUCCACAAAGUUAUCCAACUGUAACCAUGUAGGCCUUAAGAACAGCCCUAAACUGAAGAAAACCCCAAAGAUUAGAGUAUGGUAUCCAGGGGUAACAAAAGUUCAAUCAUUUGGGUUUAGCUGUGGGUGUGCUGACAUUGCCUUGUGUCUAUGAGGUGCUUAUUUACCUAAAGCACAGUCAUCAAUCGCCCCUCUUUCUUCCUGUUUGUUUGUUUGUUUGAUUGAUUUUCUUUAUUUGUUAGUUUUUGGGUUUGUGAUAUCAUUGUCAUGUUCACAUGCCCAGCUAACAGCUAAUGUUUGCUUUCAGAAAAACAGUAUGCUGAAGCUCAUAGUAGGACGUAUAUAGACACUGGAAAAUGUCAUUGGAAAGUCCUGAGUGUGUCUUAUAUAGCAUAGCCACCAACCCAAUUUAGGGUGUCUGUUUGGUAGUAUGCAUACUCAAUCAAACUUCAAUCAAAGCAAAAUAUACACAGGAAAUCAGAGAUUUCAUAAUUGUUUUUUAUUAUUAUUGAUUUAUUUUGGGCAUCUCUAGUCUUUAUUGACAGGACAGUGAAGAGCAGACAGGAGAUCAGAGGAGAGGGAGUGGGCUUGAGAAAUGACCUCGGCUCGAACCUGGGUCUUCGUGGGAACUAGCUCCGUGUGUGAUAUGGGUAGUCAUGGGAACUAGGCCCGUGUGUGAUAUAGGAUUGUCGUGGGCACUAGGCCCGUGUGUGACUCCCCCCAUAAUUGGUGCUCAUGUUUUUCACAUCUGCUUUGGUCUCACAUACACACACUCAACACACCCUCUUUGCUUUGGUCUCACAUACACACACUCAACACACCCUCUCAGGCUGCGGUUUCUGUUGAGUGGAGUUGAUGAUGACAGUGGCAUGUAUAUACAUUUAUGUGUAAAUUCCAUAUGUGGGAAGAAUAUUACCAACAGAUGCAGUCUGCUGUUAUGAUAGUUUUACUUCUCAGGGAGAAUCUCUUGCUAUAUUUUUGAUUUCUGCUGCUGAAAUUAUAUUUUAAACAUGUAUAUCCUUAAAGAAAAUAAAAAUUGAAUAUUAACCUCAUAUAUUAACAUUGUGUAUGCAUUUUACUAUUCUGUAAAUAAUGUUUCUGGUUCAAAAAACAGUCACUGCAACAUAAUGAAAACAUAUUGAAAUAAGCAAACCAUAAAAUCUUGAAUGUUAGGAUGAGAUAAUAGUGAUAUUUAUUAAAUCACGAUGUCCCGUGUAAGGUUCCAGAUUCAAGAUUCUAGGUGUAAGGUUCCAGAUUCAAGAUUCUAGGUGUAAGGUUCCAGAUUCCAGAUUGUACGUGUAAGGUUCUAGAUUCUAGGUGUAAGAUUUUCUUGCUUAGCCAUGGUAAACUUGUUUCUGGUGUACCUGAGCUCUGUUUGGGCUUUUCUGUGAAACAUUCUUCUGAACCUGAUAUUGGACCAAUUUGUUGUCAACUAAAAACAUUGAAUCUUUGCUUCAGUCAGUGAGCAGUUUUGGCUGGGUUUUAACUCUGUUUUAAAAAAAUAAGUCCUGUAACAUGGAUGCUCAAUGCUUUCUCCAGUACAGAAGAGAACUUGGUGGAGGCCCGUUAAAAUACUAAGCAGUAUACACUUCCUGUUUACAAUGUACCUCUGUGCGUUACCUUGAAUGACUCAAAUCACAGUCUAUCAUUCAUAAGAGAGAACAUGUAUAUGUAUCACGCAUAUGACAUUUACCCGAGGAAAUGAAAAGACAGACAUUAUGUUGUGUGUGCCUCUGUUUUUCUGUUCAACAUUAGUCAGGGUUGGAAGAAAAAAAAUGUUUUUGAUAGAAUGAAAGCCAGAUUACUUUGUUUUUACAUAUAUACAAUUCAUUGUGUUAUAUUUGUUAAAGAAUAAUACAUCUGUAGAAUAUGUAUUCAUUAAUUAUAGAGUAUUCUGAUUGUUUAGUUCGAUUAUUUUAUUUGAGGUGUUUUCUGUUCUGAGAUGCUCUUUAUUUAAACUUUAUUACCUUAUUUCCAAAUAAAGUUAUUUCCAAACAAGUUAUUCUCUUCCAAGUAUUUCGCUUUAAUGACUUUGUUAUUAUAUAUUACUUACUUUCUAUAGUAGCACAACCUGAACACAAAUAAAGCUGUUCGUAAAAUAGCCCUAAAGAGAAAAAUGAUCUAUCUAUUGCAUGCGG